rnacentral:misc_RNA from 1 species
AAGAUUGUUUUGAGGCUUCCAAGCUUACUAAGGUUUACUCAUGUGACAUGUAACAUUGGCUCCUUAACUCCCUCUUCUUGAACAAUUGUUUGUGUGAGGUCAUUUUGAUAAGGAAAAUAUAUCCAUGUAGUCACAUUGUUCUUCGAGUUGUCUUCAUGGAGUCAAUGUACUCUUGAAAGGUGCAAGGUGGAGACUAGCAUAAUCACAAUCUUGUUUAGUGGUGUCAAGGAACCACUCAAACUAAAAGUUUAAACUUAUAGGUGAGGGUUCCAACAAUAGUUUUAUAUCUCUAAUAAGAAACAAGCUCAACGAGAACUCGAGAAGUUCAAACCUACCAUUGAAGGAACAAAACAUGUUAUGAUUAAGGUUGUGCAAGAUUGAAC